GAGGUGGUUGCCAUGGUGGAAAUGUAUGGACCUUUCUUGCUUUUGUCUCUGUAGAUUACCCUUCAAUAACAAUUAAAAUGAAAAUCUAACUUGCUUCACUAACAGAGGAAGAGAAGGAUUUGGUGGUUGGCUAGGGAAGGGUAGCUGUUUAGGGAGGAGGUGGACAUUAUUACUACCCAUCUUAUCUGACCCAUUUCCAUUACAAUGCAGUUGCUAAUUUUGUUGUUGUGUUUGUUGAAUAUAAUUGAGGAAUCGAAUCUGCUUUUGGUUUUUCAGUUUCCCUUAUUACCCUUGUGUUUUUGAGUUUUUUUAGAGAGGAAUCAUCAUAUACGUGGUAGCUACAACGUAUCCACGUUCCAUAUCUGCUUUAUCAAGUCAGUGACCUCAUUUCUUUCAUUCACGUUGUUUGGCUUUGCUACCUGCCACUGCAUUGGUUGAGAGAUCCGUGUUUUGCGGACAUAAUCUUUUUUUAUCUUUCCUUAUCCUGCAGUAAAAUAUACGUAAAUGUACUUAGUACUCACAAAUAUUUGUCUUUUAAAUUCAUUGUUAGUUUGAAUGGAAAUUGAGAUGGGGGGAAUCAGUGGCUUUCUCGCAUAUGGUGACAACCCAGUUUAACAUUUUCUUCUUUUCUUUUAGCAUUUGAUACCAUUUAUAGGCUCAGCUGAUGACGUUGCGAGUUUCUUGCAUUGUUUUCAAUGCGACAGCUUCAGGCCAUGUGUAGCCAGAGGACCAAAGAAAGAAAACGUUAUUGUUCCCUUUUUUGUGGGUUUGGCAUCUUUGCUAACGAGUAGAAACCAAGUGGAUUUCUGCCGUUAAAACUGAGAAGCCUUAAAGUUCCUCACUAAAUGACAAAAUGUCAUCUUCCUUGAGUGCUUAGCAGCUAAAGAAAUAAGGAACAAUUACCCCGCCACCACCGACACACAUUGUGUAGGAAAUACUAUUGUUGCAUCCAGCAAUUUACUUGAUCCAAAUGGUGAAAUGUUUAAACUUUUAAAGAUAAUACAGAUUGUAAAACUUUUAAAGAUAAGAUGAUACAGAUGGUGAUUAAUGUUAACACUAAAUAUUUGUAUUAACUUUCAAAUUGCAGGAGCAUCCGCAACAGUACUGAAAG
rnacentral:misc_RNA from 1 species